AGUGAACGCUGGCGGUAGGCCUAACACAUGCAAGUCGAACGGCAGCACAGUAAGAGCUUGCUCUUACGGGUGGCGAGUGGCGGACGGGUGAGGAAUACAUCGGAAUCUACUUUUUCGUGGGGGAUAACGUAGGGAAACUUACGCUAAUACCGCUUACGACCUACGGGUGAAAGCAUGGGAUCUUCGGACCUUGCGCGAUUGAAUGAGCCGAUGUCGGAUUAGCUAGUUGGCGGGGUAAAGGCCCACCAAGGCGACGAUCCGUAGCUGGUCUGAGAGGAUGAUCAGCCACACUGGAACUGAGACACGGUCCAGACUCCUACGGGAGGCAGCAGUGGGGAAUAUUGGACAAUGGGCGCAAGCCUGAUCCAGCCAUACCGCGUGGGUGAAGAAGGCCUUCGGGUUGUAAAGCCCUUUUGUUGGGAAAGAAAAGCAGCAGGUUAAUACCCCGCUGUUCUGACGGUACCCAAAGAAUAAGCACCGGCUAACUUCGUG
rnacentral:rRNA from 1 species